CAGUCGUCUCUAAUUCUUUCUCAUGCUGGUCACAGCAGCCGCCACGUUGCCCUGCUCAUGAC
rnacentral:tRNA from 1 species